rnacentral:misc_RNA from 1 species
GAUGAAGAACGUAGCGAAUUGCGAUAUGUAAUGUGAAUUGCAGAAUUCAGUGAAUCAUCGAAUCUUUGAACGCACAUUGCGCCCCCUGGUAUUCCGGGGGGCAUGCCUGUUCGAGCGUCAUUUCACCACUCAAGCCUCGCUUGGUAUUGGGCAACGCGGUCCGCCGCGUGCCUCAAAUCGACCGGCUGGGUCUUCUGUCCCCUAAGCGUUGUGGAAACUUUCGCUAAAGGGUGUUCGGGAGGCUACGCCGUAAAACAACCCCAUUUCUAAGGUUGACCUCGGAUCAGGUAGGGAUACCCGCUGAACUUAAGCAUAUCAAUAAGCGGAGGA